GACAUUUUAUUAGACAAAAAUGGGAAACUCUGGCCCCCGCUGACGUCAAGAGGAAUUUGGGUAUCGAUUUCCCUGAAAAAGCAAUUUCAAGCAGUGACCUGGCAGCCUGCACCAACUUGUGCCCAGGCUGUCUGCAUGCAGGGGGCCUUCACCCUCCUCACACAGCCUUUUCAUUUUCCUCUUAUCCAGCUCUAGAUCCAGCUCAGAAAUACUCAGAAGAAUCAGUAACAGAGUGGAAAGAUGUGAGCCUUGAUAUUAACUAUCUGCUUUUAUAGUUUCUCUGAUGUUGGCUUCGGUUACCCAUAACUGGGGGUCGUGCUUGGCUGCCAACUCACUGAGCAACUUCCUCUGUUUAAACAGAAUAUAUAAGCCUUACUCUUUUCCAGAGUUCAUGACUCUUUUGUAAAGUGUUUUAUGAUACAGUUGUUACAGAAUCCACCAUCACAGUAACAGCUCCAGACAAGGCCUCGCUGUGGGCCUGGCUUCCAGCCCACUUCCUUGAAUGGAGGUUUUUCCAUCGCUAUCAGCGGAUGAAUAAAUACAUCAAACUGCAGCACACACCCCCACUGCAGGAACAAGGCCACGGGGGCUUGGGGGGACAUGUCUAGUCGUUGUUUUCUCAGAAUCAGAGAUCGUGAAUCCAGCCCCGUGCAGAGGAUCCUGAAGGCCUGAGUGCCUUUGAGGCCCUUCAAACACAGCUUUUUCAGAGGGUCUUAGCAGCGGUGCUCAGCACACGAGGCCUGUGAAGUCACAUAAACCUCCCACACAUCUGUUCUGUGCCUUACAUCCCUCACUUCUGUUUGUGUGAGGUUUAACAGUGACUGCUCCGGACUGAGAGCAGCCCGUGCAGCGUGAUCCAUCCUUUUAUCACGGCGUUGGGUCAGGUCAGCUCAAUAAGUGAUGGUGGCCUUGUGGUAGUAAAUGAUCUCCAAAGUGCAGCUUCUUCUGCACUUCAGGGCACAGAUUUCCCACAAAGGAAAUGGGAGUGCUCGGGAGAUGGUGCCGGUGGAACCAGCAGAGGAAAAAGUUCAACACAAACAUCUUCUUCGCUUUCUAAAAUCCGUGGGCUGAGGUGUUCCACCUGCCAGGUGGAAACACAGACCAGAAAAAUCACAGCAAGUUCCUGGAAAGUAGGAACAGAGCAGGAGCAGGCCCAAGAGGAGGUGUCACACCUGCCAAGUCACCCAGCCAGGAGCAAACUUGGUUUUGGACUCCCAGAAAGACAUGCAGCUGAACUGGCAUGAGGGGCCGAUGUGCUGGUGGCAAAAGGGACCUUCCUUGGCCCUUUAUGGAUUCCUUUCUACCACAGACACAGAAUGGCUGGGUGAGUUCUGGAUGAGCAAAGAAUGCGGAACACAAGUGGUGAUGGACAGUUAGAACUUGAACAUUUGGGCACAUCCUCCCUUGGCAUGGCUGCUGGGGGAACCGUAACACUUUACAGCUCCUAAGAGACUUCACAGACAUUCCUUCUUUAUUGUACAACUAAAAAUAGCCCAGUGCUUUGGCUUGGGUUGUUUUUAGAGGUGGGCAGGCCUUUCCC
rnacentral:lncRNA from 1 species